AGAGUUUGAUUAUGGCUCAGGACGAACGCUGGCGGCGUGCUUAACACAUGCAAGUCGAACGGAAAGGCCCCUUCGGGGGUGCUCGAGUGGCGAACGGGUGAGUAACACGUGGGUGAUCUGCCCUGCACUCUGGGAUAAGCCUGGGAAACUGGGUCUAAUACCGGACAGGACCGCGCAUCGCAUGGUGUGUGGUGGAAAGCUUUUUGCGGUGUGGGAUGGGCCCGCGGCCUAUCAGCUUGUUGGUGGGGUGAUGGCCUACCAAGGCGACGACGGGUGGCCGGCCUGAGAGGGUGUCCGGCCACACUGGGACUGAGAUACGGCCCAGACUCCUACGGGAGGCAGCAGUGGGGAAUAUUGCACAAUGGGCGGAAGCCUGAAUGCAGCGACGCCGCGUGGGGGAUGACGGCCUUCGGGUUGUAAACCUCUUUCAGCCUCGACGAAGCGAGAGUGACGGUAGGGGCAGAAGAAGCACCGGCCAACUACGUGCCAGCCGCCGC
rnacentral:rRNA from 1 species